CUGAAUUGUCAGCACGAGUUGUUGCUGGUCCUCAAAUGGGGGCAUGUGCACGCUCUGUUUACACAUCCACUCACACCUGUGCACCCUCUGUAGUUCUGUGGCUGGGGGGACUCUGUCCUUCUGCUGCGGUUCUAUGUCUUUACACACACUCUGUAUUAAAGUCUCAUGGAAUGUAUCCUGCGUUUAACGCAAUACAAUA
rnacentral:misc_RNA from 1 species